rnacentral:tRNA from 1 species
GGGAAUGUAGCUCAGUGGUAUAGUGUUUGCCUGGCACUUAAGAGGCCCUGGGUUUGAUCCCCAGCACCA